UAUCUCUCCGUACGGGGAAGGAUGAGAAGCUUCGACUAAGGUUCGAUUCGAGCGCAGCGAGAAAGCGUUGCCGCAGGCAACGACCCGAAGGGUGAGGAGCGGAGCGACGAAUAAUCCUUCCCCCAUCACCA
rnacentral:sRNA from 2 species